rnacentral:rRNA from 1 species
CACGUAGGGGACGAGCGUUGUCCGGAUUCAUUGGGCGUAAAGCGCGCGUAGGCGGCUCGGAAAGUCGGUCGUGAAAUGCCGGGGCUCAACCCCGGGACUGCGUCCGAUACUCCCGAGCUGGAGGCAGGUAGGGGAGAUCGGAAUUCCUGGUGUAGCGGUGAAAUGCGCAGAUAUCAGGAGGAACACCGGUGGCGAAGGCGGAUCUCUGGGCCUUACCUGACGCUGAGGAGCGAAAGCGUGGGGAGCGAACAGG